UACGAAGGGGGCUAGCGUUGCUCGGAAUCACUGGGCGUAAAGCGCACGUAGGCGGAUUGCUAAGUCAGGGGUGAAAUCCUGGAGCUCAACUCCAGAACUGCCUUUGAUACUGGAUGAUCUUGAGUUCGGGAGAGGUGAGUGGAACUGCGAGUGUAGAGGUGAAAUUCGUAGAUAUUCGCAAGAACACCAGUGGCGAAGGCGGCUCACUGGCCCGAUACUGACGCUGAGGCACGAAAGCGUGGGGAGCAAACAGG
rnacentral:rRNA from 1 species